CAUAGCGACUAUCGUGGCAUAUCAAUAAGCGGAGGAAAAGAAACUAACAAGGAUUCCCCUAGUAACGGCGAGUGAAGCGGGAAGAGCUCAAAUUUGAAAUCUUAAAGGGUUUCCCUUUACGAAUUGUAGUUUAAAGAAGUGUUUUCUGUUGGAGUUUCGGUAAAAGUUCUUUGGAAUAGGACAUCAUAGAGGGUGAGAAUCCCGUAUUUGACCGUCACUUUCCAGCUGUGUGAUACACUUUCAAAGAGUCGGAUUGUUUGGGAAUGCAGUCCAAGAUGGGUGGUAAAUUUCAUCUAAAGCUAAAUAUUGGCGAGAGACCGAUAGCGAACAAGUACCGUGAGGGAAAGAUGAAAAGAACUUUGAAAAGAGAGUUAAACAGUACGUGAAAUUGUCAAAAGGGAAGCGUUUGACACCAGUGUUGUUUAGUUGAAAAUCAAUUCAAUAGUUUUUGAUUCUAAGUAGUAUUGACUUCAUCAGCUUGCUGCUUUCUUCUCAGAAAUUAUUGAAUGCACUUUUCAGUUAACAAGUCAACAUCAAUUUCUUUUGUUGUAAAAGGGUAAGAGGAAGGUGGCUUGCGCUUCGGCUCAAGUGUUUAUAGCCUUUUAUCUCUGCAAUCGGAGAGACUGAGGUCUGCAGCGUAGAUCCUUCGGGGUUAGAUACAUUGAUGCUAAGCUAUAGCCUUGUAUAGACAACUUGUUGACUAUGCUCAGUCAUGUAGCUUACUCGCUGAUGCUAUUUUACCUACGCUUAGGAUGUUGACGAGACUGUCGAUCUC
rnacentral:rRNA from 1 species